rnacentral:lncRNA from 1 species
AUGUUAACCAUAUUCUUUACUUGGAAUGUAGCUUUCUUAAAGUACAAGAGUCUGGGUGCUGCCCUCACCAGCCUCACCACAAGAACUGACGCAGGGAGAAAAAAGGAUGAGAAAACCCAAACAGAUUUGCUGGUCAACACUAAACACAUAAACAUACGAAACAGAGAACAGAAAAGAAAAGAAAAAGAAAAAAACCUACAUUAACCCAAAGGAACAGUCUCUUUUUUUCUAGCAACUAAAUCUCAACCUCUUCCUUGAUUUUACUCCCUGCUCUUCAAAGGGAGGUGAGAAUUGCUUUGACAAAGCACAAAACUGACAGUACGAGCCCCAGUUAUGAUUUGACCAAUAUCACUGUGUCCAUUUUGGACAGAAACAUGAUGAGUUUGGGAAUGACUCCAGAUCCCCGCCCAUGUACCUUUCAAUGUAUUUUCUCCUUUGAGAGCUGUUUACAUUGUUACCGUGCAGUUUAGAUUCUGUGUUUUGUAGCAGAAAGCAGAAAAAUAGUUGUAAGAAUAAUUGUGGCUGAGCUCUAUCUCGCAUUCCUUGCAUACCCAAAAUUCCUCACGAACGUGGCGUGCACCCUAGCUAUGGUUAAUCCCAAAAUUGUUGCUCUGCUGCCUUCAAAGUCACACAGGUAUGGAACUGCACUGGAGAAAUGUGGGAGGUUCCUUACUAUGGAGAACAUGAACUCCAUUAUCACUCUCCUAGCUCCUGAGCUGCUCAUUUGAUUGGGCUGAGCUUAUUAUGGACUAUGACAAAUACCUAGGUUUAAAUAUGACCAAUUUAACACGUUAAUAGCACACUGCCUUAUCUACACUAGGCUGUUCACACAUUAGCGUUAGCUAACCCCUUCCAAGUCCUAAUCUAGACAAAACCUUUGUGUCAUCGAAGUGGUGAAAAUGGGCUUUAUCUGGGCCAGAGAUGUGGCCUUUAAACCCCCAAUGCCAUCAUCCAACUUUCAUUUUCAGAGAGCACAGUAAAUCCCAGACAAGAUCAAUGAGACAGGAACAACAGAGCAGAAUAAGAACAUGCAUACUAAUGGUCCCUUGCCUAACCUCGUUUUAUUAGCUAUCUUCAUUCUCUGGUGCUAUGGUUUAUUUAGCUUGCCCAGUCAGAUUUGAGAAACAGCACAAUCAUCUGAGGGGGUUUUUUCCCUCUAAAUCCUUUGUCAGUGCACUCUGAUGUUACUAACAAGCUGUCUCUUGGAUGGGUUCAAGGAACCUACCAAAAAAUAAAAUAAAAAUAUUCUGGACUUUCCA